UACGGAGGGUGCAAGCGUUAAUCGGAAUUACUGGGCGUAAAGAGCUCGUAGGCGGCUUGUCGCGUCGGAUGUGAAAGCCCGGGGCUUAACUCCGGGUCUGCAUUCGAUACGGGCAGGCUAGAGUUCGGUAGGGGAGAUCGGAAUUCCUGGUGUAGCGGUGAAAUGCGCAGAUAUCAGGAGGAACACCGGUGGCGAAGGCGGAUCUCUGGGCCGAUACUGACGCUGAGGAGCGAAAGCGUGGGGAGCGAACAGG
rnacentral:rRNA from 1 species